rnacentral:lncRNA from 1 species
GGCUCAACUAAUUCACUAAUUUGAUCAGAUUUAAUUAAGAUUAUGAGAGCCUAAUUAGUUUAGAUCCAUCAUAUUUUAUUUGAAUCUAAUUAGAUUAGGUUUGGUAGAAAUCCAAUUGGUGAAACCCUAAAGUCAUAGAUGAAUGGGACUCUCUCUCUUGCGUCAUCCAGAAAGACUCAUGCCAUAUCUCAUCACACAAAACUAAUUUGUGC